UCUGCGCUGAAGUGCUGAAGAGGGAUC
rnacentral:sRNA from 1 species